GUUAGGGUUCGUGGAUGGGAGAGGAUCCCAAAGCAGACAACGGGACGACAGGCUGUGAGAACAAAAAUGGUCUUGUUUAUUAUUCGGGCGUUGCUGGUGAGAUCCAGACCAACGUGAGGCAGGAAAAGCUCGUGGGGGGGAAUCAGGCGUGGAGAUCCGACAAGGGGCGUGCACAAACAGGUCCUGGGACAGAAGCAAAAAUCGUGAGCCGAGAACAGUAGUCAAAAAUGUAAGUAAGGCGGGAUACAACUGACAGUGGAACUAGACGAGUUGAUCUGGCGACGAGGUGAGGCGUCCACUGGCUUUUUCAAGGCUGCUGAUUGUGAUAGCCUGCACCUGUGGCCGCUCCACCCGUCUGGCAUCCAACCUGUAAUCAGAAAAACUCAUGCACGCCUGCCUAAAGUGGGCCAGGUUUCAGGAGGGAGGGGCAGAGGCCCUAACAGGACCCCCCCGCCUACGGGCGCCACCUGGCGCCCGACGAAGACGACCGGGAUGGGUGCGGUGGAAAUCCCGGAUCAGCUCACGGGACAACACCCACCGGGCCGGGACCCAGGACCGCUCUUCCGGGCCAUAGCCCUCCCAGUCCACCAAGUAUUGGACCCCACGGCCACGGCGGCGGACGUCCAAAAGCCGCUCCACUCUAUAAGCUGGCCCCCCGUCGACCGACAGUGGCGGCGGCGGAGGCUGAACAGGGGGGGACAAGGCACUCAAGGCGACGGGCUUUACUUGUGAGACAUGGAAGGUAGGGUGGAUACGGAAAUGGGCAGGAAGCUUGAGGCGCACUGCAGCCGGAUUCACCACCCUCUCGAUCUCAUAGGGACCGAUAAACCGGGGGGAGAGCUUCCUCGACUCAGUCCUCAGCGGCAGGGACUUGGACGACAGCCACACCUUCUGGCCUACCGCAUAGACUGGCGCAGGCGUGCGGCGGCGGUCCGACUGGGCACGGGACUUUUCGGAGGAACGUAGGAGUGCAGAGCGUGCCUGCUCCCAGACUUUGGCGCAACGACUCACGUGCCUCUGGACAGACGGGACUGCAAUGUCUUGCUCUUGUGAAGGAAACAAAGGGGGUUGGUAGCCCAAGGAACAAAGGAAUGGGGACAUACCUGAGGAGGCGUUCGGCAGGGAGUUGUGAGCGUAUUCAACCCAAGGGAGUUGGUCGCACCAGGUGUUAGGAUGGGCCUGGGUGGUACAGCGGAGGGCAGUUUCGAGCUGCUGGUUGGUACGCUCACACUGGCCGUUGGUUUGCGGAUGGUACCCUGAAGAUAGACUCACACCAACGCCCAGAGCUGCACAGAAAGCCUUCCAUACUUGCGAGGUGAACUGCGGCCCUCUGUCAGAGACAAUGUCUACCGGAAUGCCAUGCAGGCGGAGCACAUGGUUGGUGAGCAGGUCUGCAGUUUCCUUGGCUGAGGGGAUCUUGCGAAGGGGGAUGAAAUGGGCCGCUUUGGAGAAUCGGUCAACCACGGUGAGGAUGACUGUGUUGCCCCUGGAAGGCGGGAGACCGGUGACGAAAUCCAGGGCAAUGUGUGACCAUGGACGACUCGGAAUGGGUAAGGGGUGGAGGAGUCCGGAGCUGGGCUUCGUCGAUGUCUUGCUACGGGCGCAAACAUUACAGGCAAGGACAAAAGAUCGGGUAUCCUCUGACAUAGAGGGCCACCAGAACCGUUGGCGCAGUACGGUCAGUGUCCUUCUGAUGCCGGGGUGGCAGAAUAGGCGGGACGCGUGUGCCCACUCCAGUACCUUGGAACGCAUGGACUCGGGAACAAAGAGGUCGGAUUGAUGGCCCUCUCUGGGGUCUGGGUGGUCACGAAGGGCUUCCUUCACCUUCCCCUCAAUCUCCCACUCCAUCGAGGCUAGGAAGCAGGUCUGUGGGAGAAUGGGCGCUGGCUCCCCAGGUGGUUCAAUGGCCUGGAACUGCCGGGACAGGGCGUCUGGCUUGGUAUUUUUUGAACCUGGGAUGUAAGACAUUGAGAAGUUAAAUCGGCAGAAAAACAUGGCCCACCUGGCUUGUCUCGGGUUGAGUCUCCGGGCUGACUUCAGGUAUUCCAGGUUCUUGUGAUCAGUUAGGACAAGGAAAGGCUGUGAUGUUCCCUCCAGAUGGUGGCGCCAUUCUUCCAAAGCUAACUUAACUGCCAAGAGUUCUCUGUCCCCAAUGCUGUAGUUGCGCUCCGCAGGAGACAGCCUGCGGGAGAAGAAAGCACAUGGGUGUACCUUGCCGUCAGUGGGCCGCCGUUGUGACAACACGGCACCCACGCCGGUCUCAGAAGCAUCCACCUCCACAAUGAAUUGGAGAGAUGGGAUAGGAGGAGCCAGUAUAGGCGCAGAGGUGAAGCGGGCCUUGAGGUCGCUGAAGGCGGAACUGGCAUUGUCAGACCAACGGAACUGUGUAGUGGUGGAGGUGAGGGCUGUGAGAGGGGCCGCAAUUCUGCUGUAGUUACGUAUGAACCUCCUGUAGAAGUUGGCGAACCCAAGAAAGCGCUGGAGCUGCUUUCUGUCGGAGGGGCGUGGCCAUUCCAGGACUGCCUUGACUUUCGCUGGGUCCAUGCGCAACUGGCCCUUGCCAACGAUGUAGCCGAGAAAAGCGGUCUCGUCGACGUGAAACUCGCAUUUCUCGGCUUUCACGAAGAGCCUGUUCUCGAGGAGACGCUGGAGGACCUGACGGACAUGAACUUCGUGUUCGGUGGGGGUGUGGGAGAACACCAGGAUGUCAUCAAGGUAGACCACCACGAAACGGUUAAUGAAGUCCCCUAAGACAUCGUUUACUAGAUGCUGAAAAACCGCAGGGGCGUUUGUGAGGCCAAAAGGCAUAACCAAAUAUUCAUAAUGCCCCAGGGGCGUAUUAAAUGCGGUUUUCCACUCGUCACCCUCUCUGAUGCGGACGAGAUGAUAUGCGCUGCGCAGAUCGAGCUUAGUGAAAACUGUUGCACUGUGGAGGGGGGUGAACGCAGAGUCCAUGAGAGGCAGAGGGUACUUAUUUUUUAUUGUGAUGUCAUUUAGGGCUCGGUAGUCGAUGCAGGGCCGCAGGCCGCCAUCCUUCUUGCCUAUGAAGAAGAAGCCAGCGCCGACAGGCGAGGAGGAGGGACGGAUGGUGCCUGUGGCCAGGGAUUCGGAGAUGUACUUCUCCAACGCCUCCCUCUCUGGUUGCGAGAUGUUGAAUAGCCGACCCUUGGGAAGAGCAGCUCCAGGAAGAAGGUCGAUGGCGCAGUCGUAAGGGCGAUGAGGCGGGAGCGACAUUGCACGAUCCUUACUAAAAACCUGCCAGAGAUCGUGGUAGCAUUUCGGGACAGUGGACAGGUCGGGUUGCUCCAGCUUCUUGGCAGGACAGGACGGCACUAGAGCAGAUCUGAGACAGUUAACGUGGCAGAACGGACUCCAUGAGGUUAACUUGGGGAGGGUCCAGUCUAUGGUGGGAUUAUGUUUCUUGAGCCAAGGUAACCCCAGGACCAAGGGUGUACGGGGACUCACAAAGACAAGGAAAGUGCUCACUUCUUGGUGGUUGCCUGACAGGAGCAGCUUGAUGGGCUCGGUUUUCCGAUCCACGCUGAAAAGGAGUUUCCCAUCAAGUGCCGUGGUCCUCAAGGGCACAGGGAGCGGGUGCGUCGUCAGUCUUAGUUGGGUCACGAGCUCGUGGUCGAUAAAGUUCUCGUCCGACCCGCAAUCAACUAAGGCAGUAACCGAGCGUGACAGGCCCCUCAAAGAGAGCGUAGCGGUGAGCUGGAGCCGAUUAGAGGAGUCGUGAGACAUGUGGCUUACCAGGAGUGCCUUUACUGGCGAGCCAGGACGCACCGGGCAGCCACGCAGAAAAUGGCCACUUUUCCCACAGUAAAUACAUAGGCGGGUGUCAUACCUGCGUGUGCGCUCCUCCUGAGACAGCCUGGCGCGCCCCAGUUGUACUCGCUCGGCGUCUACAGUAGGGGGCGAAAUCGCGGGUGGAACGUGUGUGGCCUGGGCAGGAAGUGGAGCAGGCCGCGGGAAGAUGGCUGAGCGAGGAGGAAGGGGGGUCGGCUGUUCGAGCUGCUGUCGCUGACGUUCACGCAAACGCGCGUCAAUUUUGAUGCAAAGUUUGAUGACUCCAUCCAAAGAAGACUGUUCAUCGCGGGCGGCCAAUUCAUCUUUAAGGCGCUCAUUAAGAGCGCGGAUGAACACUUCUUGCAGCGCCUCGUCAUUGAAACGGCUUUCUGCCGCUAACGUCCGGAAUUCUACCGCGAACUCGGCGACGCUCCGAGUCCCCUGGCGAGCGGACAUGAGCCGCUUGGCUGCUUCCUUUCCACGGACUGGAUGGUCAAAGACCUUUCUCAUCUCCUCGGUGAAACGGGAGUAUGUAACACACACGGACGAGUCAUUUUCCCAUAAUGAGGAAGCCCAAUCAAGCGCGGCGCCCCGCAAACAAGCUAUCAGUAGAAGCUCCCAGAAUCUUCGGGGCGUAUGGAGUUGAAAACGUAAUUUCUUUCUGAAGACCCGAGCAUAGUUUGGCCCUUGUACCAGGUGAAGCUAGCAGCUGGGUUAGCGUCACUGCUGCAGUCUGGAUUUCGCACCACAGCACCGAAAACUGUGCUGAUGAAGGUCCUAAAUGAUAUUCAUCGGAAUAAUGACACCUCUAUCAUCUAUUCGGGGAUUACUACAAGUAGAUCUCAGUGCUGCAUUUGGCACAGUUGAUCAUACCGUACUACUCAGCAGAUUGGAACAGUGAGUAGGCCUCGCUGACAUUGUGUUUCAACAUUUUAAAAACAAGUUGUAAGACGUAAAAUAUAUUAUUAUUACUUAAUGUUAUUAUUUUCAAAUUAAAAAAAAAAAAGACAUUUUAAUUUGGCUGGUUCGGUGACUGUUGACUUAAUACGUCUCCUCAUUGUUCUUGUAAUGGUGUGGAGAUUGAAUUAAGUUAAAAAAAAAAAAAAAAUCAAUUACAUUUUUCAUACAUUUCAGGUGCAAGAAAACCUUUAAAAAAAAAAAAAAGAAACUUUUCUUGAGUUUUGAGAUUUACUUGACUAGUCCUGACUUCCAUAUUGGCUUUGGUACUGACACUUGACGUUCAUGUUGAUUUUGGGACUCACAUUGAACGUCUAUGAACACCGGGACAGAGGUGACGUCUCCAUGUUUAUUGUGGGCUUUGCAGUAGAAGCUCCCAGAAUCUUCGGGGCGUAUGGAGUUGAAAACGUAAUUUCUUCCUGAAGACCUGAUCCUAGUUUGGCCCUUGUACCAGGUGAAGCUAGCAGCUGGGUUAGCGUCACUGCUGCAGGUAAGUUUCACUUGAUUUCCCUCCGCAAUGACGUUUAAUGGAUCCACCCGCAAAUAAAGGUACUUUGGAGCAUCUGAAGAACACAACAUUGGCAUCAUUACAGAGUUGAUCAUUUGUGUCCUAAACAUGUUUGGUUGACUUCUGUUUAUCGCAGCAGAUAUGUUGUUUAGUCGUUAGAUUUCACAAUUCACAGUUGGACACUGUGCUGUACUCACAUUUUACAUCAAUUAUGAAAGGUUGCGACAUCUUCUGCCCCAGAUCAUUCUCCACGACACAACAAUACACAGCUAAAUCUGAAGACUGGAUGGAGCUGAAGAACAGAUAUUCUCCAUAACUCAUGACCUCCCAGUCUGAAGUUCCAGUCUUCUUGCACCAGCGGUGUCCUGAUGAUGUUGGGGUGUCAGCUCUGCAGAUUCACCAAGAAGAAUUAAUGUUCAAAGAUUCUACCAAAUUCAACCUUCGAGAUGCCAUGGACUUCUGAUAUAUAGUUGAGGCAUAUAUUCGGCUGAAGUCUACCCACGCCACUCAAUUGCAAUUCAAAGAACAGUUCGGAUGUUGUGAAUUUCCAGUCCGCUCAAUCACCUUCAGAUGGGUCAACAAGUUCGCAACCCAUGGAACUGUGCAUAACCUCAAUGGUCAAGACACUAACAGACGAUUACACUCUGGAUGACCGCGGGGGUCAUAAAGAACUUUGCCCGCCGCAUCCAAAUGUGCCUGCAGUGCCAGGGAGCUGAUUUGGAGCACACUUUUAGAGCCCCAAACAGAGUUUUUGUAGAACAUACCUGAAACUUUGGAGAUGUCUGCUACAUAGGGAUGACCUAACGUAGCUCAAGUUUUGUGUCGAUCUAAAUAAAAUCUUGAGAAGUCUGCUACAUAUGCUCGAAUUACUUGGGUAUAUACUCUCCAGGCCCUUCUAAGGGUGCUGAUGUUUAAUUUUAUUCAUCGUUUGAAAUGUUCUUAACAUGUGAUUGUCUGGGGCCUGACUAACAUUUUGCACAGUUCCAUACGCUGCAUGUCACUGUUCUGGAAGCACUGGUAUAGGUGCCUUUUAAAAGUGGGUCAAUAGAUGACCUAAUUUUUGUAUCAGUGUAGUUUACGGUCUUUUAUUGUUAUUUUGUUUUUAGUUUUGCAUGGUUCGUUCCCUUGUAUUGUAUGGUUGUGGCUUGGACCUUGAGUCUGUUAAUAAAUCUAUCCAUCUAGCUAUCUAUUGAAAAACU